AGCGUUGUUCGGAAUUACUGGGCGUAAAGCGCGCGUAGGCGGAUUGGAAAGUUGGAGGUGAAAUCCCAGGGCUCAACCUCGGAACUGCCUUCAAAACUCCCAGUCUUGAGUUCGGGAGAGGUGAGUGGAAUUCCGAGUGUAG
rnacentral:rRNA from 1 species